rnacentral:lncRNA from 1 species
CACCCCUUUGCCCUCCUCGCUGCAGUUUUGAAAAUGAGGAUUUCUGCAGGAUGGAAAUUUUGGCUGGGUUCUGUCCUUUCACAAAACUACUGUGAAUUUUGACAGAGCAGAGGAGUCAGCAGGAAACCACUGGAGCUGCAGUUUGAACGCUGGAUUGGCAGAGAAUUCUAAGGGGUUCCCUCUGCUGAACUUCAAUGCUUGUCUGCAAGACCAGACUUCAUUGUUGUAGACCAGCCUUUCAUUUUGCUCUCUCAGGCUGCACUGUCCCAAGG